CCAGUUAACUGUGACCAUGUGCAUUUUCAGUGGUUGAAGAGACCAUUCGGAGUUGCUGCAUUGUGUCUUGGAUUGCUGUGUAUUCUCCUACUGGCUGGGAUCAUAGGCAUGUGUGUCAACUACACUGGUCAGCAUUCCCGUGAUGAAAGAGACCUGCUACAAACCAGUAAUAACAACCUGACUAAAGAGAGAGACCAGCUACAGACCAGUUAUAACAACCUGACUAAAGAGAGAGACCAGCUACAGACCAGUUAUAAUAACCUGAUUAAAGAGAGAGACCAGCAUCAGAGGGAAAUAGAAAAGCUGAAAAUCAAAGGAAAUGUGGCGUUGAAUGGAGUGGCCACUCAGUCAUCACUGUAUAAUAAUCGCUACGCUUCCGAUGCCAUCGAUGGGAAAAGAAACACACACUAUGGAUCCUGCACCCACACUCAGAAAGACAGAAACCCGUGGUGGAGAGUGGACCUGCUGAAUGUGUACAGAAUAACAGAUGUCACCCUCACCAACAGAGGAGACUGCUGUCCUGAGAGGCUUGAUGGUGCUGAGAUCCGCAUCGGUAACUCAUCGGAGAACAACGGCAUCAACAACCCCAGAUGUGCCGUCAUCUCCCACAUCCCAGCAGGAGAGACCCACACCUUCCAGUGCAAUGAGAUGGAGGGUCGCUACGUUGUUGUGGUCAUCCCUGGCAGGUCGGAAUGGCUCACUCUGUGUGAGUUGGAAGUUCAUGGUACUCCUGCAGGAAAUGUGGCGUUGAAUGGAGUGGCCACUCAGUCAUCACUGUAUAAUAAUCGCGACGCUUCCGAUGCCAUCGAUGGGAAAAGAAACACACACUAUGGAUCCUGCACCCACACUCAGAAAGACAGAAACCCGUGGUGGAGAGUGGACCUGCUGAAUGUGUACAGAAUAACAGAUGUCACCCUCACCAACAGAGGAGACUGCUGUCCUGAGAGGCUUGAUGGUGCUGAGAUCCGCAUCGGUAACUCAUCGGAGAACAACGGCAUCAACAACCCCAGAUGUGCCGUCAUCUCCCACAUCCCAGCAGGAGAGACCCACACCUUCCAGUGCAAUGAGAUGGAGGGUCGCUACGUUGUUGUGGUCAUCCCUGGCAGGUCGGAAUGGCUCACUCUGUGUGAGUUGGAAGUUCAUGGUACUCCUGCAGUUUCCAAUGUGUAUCAAAAAUGGUCCACCACCCAAAGGAAAUCAAGCCAACUUGACACAACUAUGGGAAACAUUGACAUCAACAUGGAUCAGCAUUCCUGUGGAUCGCUUUCGGGAACCUUGUAGAGUCCAUUGCCAGAGGAAUUUAAGUUGUCCUGAGGGCAGAAGGGAGUGGGGGGGAAGCAUUCUAAAUCCUCAGUGAUGUAAUCACUGAUUCACUUUUUCACUGUUCCAUUAGUCACUGGUGAGCAUUCCGGUGCAGAGAGGGACAGCUUACAGACCAGUUAUAACAACCUGACUAAAAAGAGAGACCAGCUACAGACCAGUUAUAACAACCUGACUAAAGAGCGAGACCAGCUACAGACCAGUAAUAACAACCUGACUAAAGAGAGAGACCAGCUACAGACUAGUAAAAUCAACCUGACUAAAGAAAGAGACCAGCUACAGACCAGUAAUAUCAACCUGACUAAAGAAAGAGACCAGCUACAAACCAGUAAUAACAACCUGACUACAGAGAGAGACCAGCUACAGACCAGUAAUAGCAAUCUGGCUAAUGAGAGAGACCAGCUACAAAGUAAGAUAGAAAAUCUAAACAACAAGAUUAACAGUAAAAUGUCAGUACAUUGGAAAGGACUGUCUGUAUCACAUAAUAUGCGGCUAACAAUUUAUCCAGGCAGUAUCGCAACUGGCCGUGAUUGGGAGUCCCAUACGGCGACGCACAGUUGGCCCAGCGUCGUCCGGGUUUGGCCGCUGUAGGCUGUCAUUGUAAAUAAGAAUAUGUUCUUAACUGACUUACCUAGCAAAAUAAAGGUUAAAACAAAUAUAUAUAUAUAUAUUUAUUUGAGAAAAUAUUUUGUUCCCGUUUUUAUUUCCUUAUAUGUUGCAUUUUUUCUAUUGAAAGUAAAAAUUAAUGUAAAAAUAAGAAAAUAAAAAUGUCAUCUUGAUAUUUCUAGGGAGAUCCUGUCCUGAAGGAUGGAAGACAUCUGGCUCCAGCUGUUACUACACCACCACCGUGAUUAAAACCUGGGAGGAGAGCAGAAAGGACUGCAACGAGAGAGGAGCACACCUGGUGAUCAUAAAUAGCAGAGAGGAACAGACAUUUAUCAAUGGGUUAUACGGACCGGGGAAUGAGACCUGGAUCGGUCUGACGAACGUUGACACUGAGGGGACCUGGAAAUGGGUGGACGGCACACCACUGACCACAGCGUAUUGGAAGACUGGAAAGCCUAGCAGCUCUUUAGGGGCCGACCAGGACUGUGUGGCGUUUUUCCACCAUUCAUCAGACCCAGGGGAGUGGAACGACGAGGAAUGCCACAAGUCAAAUAACUGGAUCUGUGAGAUAUUUUAAUUCUCUGCACUGCGAACUACAUGUAACUGCCAAAAAAAGGAAAAAUUUCAGUAAAUGAGGGUGGAUCUGCUGGAUCUGCUGGUGUGGGGUGCAUUUUCCUGGCAUGGUUUAGGUCCACUCAACCACUGAGAGAGAACGGUAAACACCAAUAAAUACACAGCCAUUCUGAGUGACCACCUUCAACCUAUGGUGAAUCAGAUCUAUCCUGAUGGGAGUGGUCUCUUCCAGGAUGACACCGCCCCCCCCCCCCCCCCCCCUCUCCCCCCAUCCAUUAGGGAACGAGUGGUCACCGAAUGGUUUGAUGAGCUAAAUAAGGAAAAUGAUGUAAACCAUAUGCCACGGCCGUCUCAGUCACCAGAUCCCAACCCAAUUGAAUUAUGGGAGAUUCUAGAGCGGCAACUGAGACAACAUUUUCCACAUUUCUCCUGAAAGAAUGGUGUUUGCAUCCCUCCAAUAGAGUUCCAGACAAAUCUAUACCGAGGCUCAUUGAAGCUGGCGGCUGGUGGUGGCCUAACGUCCUAUUAACACAAUUGAUGUUUUCUUUAUUUUGGAAGUUAACAGUAUGUUGAUAAUAGUCUGAAUAUUGCUGAUAUAUUCUGGUAGAACGCUACUCUGAAUUACAUUUCUGAAUGAAAGGCACACACGCACGCACACACAAAUCAUGUUCAGAUUUCAUAAAAUGAGGUGUAUAAUAUCAUUGAAUAUAUGCUGUAAAUCAAUUUACAUUUUUACAUGAUUUGUAUAUCUUAUACAGUUUGUCUGCUACUUGUGUUUUCAUCAUGCUGAACAUAAACAAUGUGUACUUCCUGCUUAUUCAGUAUAUAAUUGAACCUAGAUUAAAGACAUUUCCUUGUUGAGUA